rnacentral:rRNA from 1 species
AGUGAACGCUGGCGGUAGGCCUAACACAUGCAAGUCGAACGGCAGCACAGUAAGAGCUUGCUCUUACGGGUGGCGAGUGGCGGACGGGUGAGGAAUACAUCGGAAUCUACUUUUUCGUGGGGGAUAACGUAGGGAAACUUACGCUAAUACCGCAUACGACCUACGGGUGAAAGCAGGGGAUCUUCGGACCUUGCGCGAUUGAAUGAGCCGAUGUCGGAUUAGCUAGUUGGCGGGGUAAAGGCCCACCAAGGCGACGAUCCGUAGCUGGUCUGAGAGGAUGAGAGGCCGGAGUGGAAAUGAGACACGGUCCGGACUCAGGCGGGAGGCCGCAGGGGGGAAUAUUGGAGAAGGGGGGCAACCUUGAUGCAUCCAUGCCGCGUGAGUGAAGACGGCUUUUUGGUUGUAAAGCACUUUAAGGAGGGAGGAGAGACUAAUGGUUAAUACCCACUAGAUUAGACGUUAGCUGCAGAAUAAGCACCGGCUAACUCUGUG